UACGGAAGGUGCAAGCGUUGUUCGGAAUGACUGGGCGUAAAGAGCGCGUAGACGGAUCAGCAAGUCGGGUGUGAAAUCCCUGGGCUCAACCCAGGAACUGCACUCGAAACUACUGUGUCUUGAAUGUCUGAGGGGUUAGUGGAAUUCCCGGUGUAGGAGUGAAAUCCGUAGAUAUCGGGAGGAACACCAGAGGCGAAGGCGGCUAACUGGCAGAACAUUGACGUUGAGGCGCGAAAGCGUGGGGAGCAAACAGG
rnacentral:rRNA from 1 species